rnacentral:rRNA from 1 species
AACGAACGCUGGCGGCAGGCUUAACACAUGCAAGUCGAACGCUCGUAGCAAUACGGGAGUGGCGGACGGGUGAGUAACGCGUGGGAACGUGCCCUGAGGUACGGAAUAACUGAGGGAAACUUCAGCUAAUACCGUAUGAGCCCCGAGAGGGGGAAGAUUUAUCGCCUUGGGAGCGGCCCGCGUCGGAUUAGCUAGUUGGUGGGGUAACGGCCUACCAAGGCUUCGAUCCGUAGCUGGUCUGAGAGGACGAUCAGCCACACUGGGACUGAGACACGGCCCAGACUCCUACAGGAGGCAGCAGUGGGGAAUUUUGGACAAUGGGGGGCAACCCUGAUCCAGCCAUGCCGCGUGAGUGAAGAAGGCCUUGG